rnacentral:rRNA from 1 species
AUGGGGUCGGAUCUUGUGGUGCUUUGUCGGAGCUCGAUCCAUCGCCUCCCAAACCAGCCGUCGCCGUGCCGCUGGGGCUUGGGUUUCCAUGGGGAAUCACUACACAGCAGCAUGCCUCCCUCCUUCAUCAUCGUCAUCAGAGCCACCGCACCUCUCCUUCCUCCUUGCUCGCACCCCUGCCGCGGCGCGCAUCCCUCCCCUUUCGAUCUAAUUUCAUUCUUGUUUCACAUGUUGGUUUGGUUGGCAAGAGACGUUGCAGUGCCGACGGCAGUAGCCAGGGUUGGCGUUGCUGAUGUCUGUAGGUUAUGGGAUUGGAUCUCCCUUUUCUAA